rnacentral:rRNA from 1 species
AUUGAACGCUGGCGGCAUGCUUUACACAUGCAAGUCGAACGGCAGCGCGGGGGCAACCCUGGCGGCGAGUGGCGAACGGGUGAGUAAUGCAUCGGAACGUAUCCUGUAAUGGGGGAUAACGUAGCGAAAGUUACGCUAAUACCGCAUACGCUCGAGAGAGGAAAGUGGGGGAUCGCAAGACAUCACGUUAUAGGAGCGGCCGAUGUCCGAUUAGCUAGUUGGUGGGGUAAAGGCCUACCAAGGCGACGAUCGGUAGCUGGUCUGAGAGGAUGAUCAGCCACACUGGGACUGAGACACGGCCCAGACUCCUACGGGAGGCAGCAGUGGGGAAUUUUGGACAAUGGGCGAAAGCCUGAUCCAGCCAUGCCGCGUGCGGGAAGAAGGCCUUCGGGUUGUAAACCGCUUUAGUCCGGGAAAAAGGGGUGCGAGGAUAAUACACUUGUGCUUUGAUGGUACUGGAAGAAUAAGCACCGGCUAACUACGUGCCAGCAGCCGCGGUAAUACGUAGGGUGCGAGCGUUAAUCGGAAUUACUGGACGUAAAGCGUGCGCAGGCGGUCUUGUAAGACAGUCGUGAAAGCCCCGGGCUUAACCUGGGAACUGCGAUUGUGACUGCAAGGCUAGAGUGUGUCAGAGGGGGGUGGAAUUCCACGUGUAGCAGUGAAAUGCGUAGAGAUGUGGAGGAACACCGAUGGCGAAGGCAGCCCCCUGGGAUAACACUGACGCUCAUGCACGAAAGCGUGGGGAGC